GUUGAUCAUGGGGACCAUUCCAUUUGAAGAGGCUCAUGCUGCCCGGAUUUCGUUAAGCAAGCCAUCUAUGUCCCAAAGUUGAGGACCGUUUGGAGAAGAGGCCACCCAGGAUUUCUCGUGGAAUCGUUUGAUUUGAUCAAGACGUUCAAAGCAAAUAUUACUGAAGUGUUCCUUGUGUCGGCAGAUUCCGGCAAAUGGUCAAAGACCAGGACACACAUUCUGGAGAUAUCCUUGGCCAUCAGGUGGUCCAUCACUGAUGUA